rnacentral:rRNA from 1 species
CCUACGGGUGGCAGCAGGGAGGAAUAUUGGGCAAGGGACGCAAGUCGGAACCAGCCAGGCCGCGUGAAGGAAGACGGCCCUAUGAGUUGUAAACUGCUUUUGUACGAGGGUAAACGCAGAUACGCGUAUCUGUCUGAAAGUAUCGUACGAAUAAGGAUCGGCUAACUCCGUGCCAGCAGCCGCGGUAAUACGGAGGAGUCAAGCGUUAUCCGGAUUUAUUGGGUUUAAAGGGUGCGUAGGCGGUCGGGUAAGUUAGAGGUGAAAUCCCGAGGCUCAACUUCGGAAUUGCCUCUGAUACUGUUCGGCUAGAGGGUAGUUGCGGUAGGCGGAAUGUGUGGUGUAGCGGUGAAAUGCUUAGAGAUCAUGCAGAACACCGAUUGCGAAGGCAGCUUAC